rfam:Dipodomys ordii contig_16371, whole genome shotgun sequence.
GUGGAUAUGGCUCAGUGGUAGAGUGCUUGCCUAGCACCCAUGAAGCCUUGGGUUUGAUUCCCCAGUACCACA